AUUGAACGCUGGCGGCAGGCCUAACACAUGCAAGUCGAGCGAGCGGCGGACGGGUGCGUACUGUCUGGGGAUAUGCCCGAUAGAGGGGGAUAACUCCGGGAAACUGUAGCUAAUACCGCGUACCAUAGGAUGAGCCCAAGGUGGAUUAGGUAAUUGGUGAGGUAAAGGCUCACCAAGCCGACGAUCUCUCGCUGGUCUGACAGGAUGACCAGCAACAACGGGACUGAGACACGGCCCAGACUCCUACGGGAGGCAGCAGUGGGGAAGAUUGCGCAAUGGGGGCAACCUGACGCAGCCAUGCCGCGUGAAUGAAGAAGGCCUUCGGGUUGUAAAGUUCUUUCGGUAGCGAGGCGUUAACUACAGAAGAAGCACCGGCUAACUCCGUGCCAGCAGCCGCGGUAAUAC
rnacentral:rRNA from 1 species